UGUUGCUGCAGAUAUUGUUGGGGCCGCUUGUGCACUGGAUUUUGGGCAGCUGGUUUGGGCUCCCACUUAUUGAAGCGCAAUACUUUGAUGCAGAGUGUAGUUGUAGCCUUACUUGGACUCCAAUUAGUAGGACGACUCCGUUUUGGAGAAGCCAAGUUGCUGCCUUAGGGGUCUCUUGCCCUUAUUUUCAUUUGCAUAGGGGCUCAAGUAAUUCACUUUGGAGAAAAGAACGCAAAACUAGGGCAAAGAGUGAAGCGGAGAACGAAAGAGAAAGUGGCCCUCUAUGGCUCAAGGGCGUCACUUACCAGAAGAAGAUGACCGGUGAAGAUGAAAAGAUUAUCGGAUGGCUGGAAGUGGAGCUCGCGAGGAAAGAAAGUGACCAUCCGAUUAGAAGGCUUGAAGCGUAGCGAGCAAGUGGUGGCUGGAAUUGAUCAUUGGACAAUGCAUCUCAUGGCCACAAAAUUAAAUGGGAUUUUAAUCCUUUUCAUUGGCUGCAAAGGAGUACACCUCACGUAGAAAUUAAUUUGGCAACAUCCAAAUCAGCACAUGCACAUGGAAAAGGCUUUGGUUUUAUUUUUUUUUAUGAAGUAGGAUGCUUGUCACGGCUGCACACAUCAAAGUGGAGGGGGUCCUCCUUGUUUUACUGAAGUGUUGAAAGAAAUUGAUGGAAGGAACACAUCAUCACAACUCUUGGCAGCCAACAGCAAACACACAGUAGCAGCAGCACGUUAAAGAGAAGCCAACAGCUGAACUUUGAUUGUCCACACUGAUUUCACUUUGGAGUAGAAGCAGAAACGGUGACGAGAGAGGAGCUCUUGGAACCUUGGUGCAGCAGACCUUGGUGCAGCAGACCUUGGUGCAGCAGCAGGCAGUGGGAGCGUCCAACUUAGAGAAGUUCACGGGCAAAAGAAUUUGGCAUUGUGGAGGGGUCAUGCACUUAAUUUUUUUAAGAAGCAAAAUGGUUUGAUUAAGCACCAGCCGCCCCUUUUUGUCAAUGGAAUGCAACAUUAUAUUUUUGUCCUCUUUUGAAAGUGCAUCCAUUCUGCUGAAGUGAAGAGAAAGUGGAGGGGCCCUCUUGAUUUAAUUCUGCACCAAGGAAGCAAAAGAAGUGAGGAAAAUUGGCUUUUAAAAGGGAAGCUGGACAACAAAAUAGGGGGAGUGUAGAGUAGGAAGCUCAAUGCUAGGGGUGUGGCGUGAGGGGGCUGCUGGAGGGAAUAAGUCCAGAACUGGACUGUAGCAGCUGGACAGAGGGGCUGGAACGGACAAAGGCUGACCCAGAGGAAAGAGCACAGCACUACAACAUCAGGUUUUACAGAUAAAAGCACCAUAGGUUCUAAUUUCAAAUUUUAUUUGCUGUAAUCAAUUUCAAUUCAAAUUUCAGUUUGAUGUAAUUUUCUGAACUUCCAAGGCUGUUACUGUUUUUAUUUUGCUUCUGAAAUUUAAUUUCUGUUACUGUUGUAAUUUAAAUUUUACUGUAAUUUAAUUUCUGUACUCAGUUUUUCUACUGUUUAUUUUUUUUGGCUGUUGUUUUUAUUCUGAUGUAAAUUAUUUCACUUUGAAUUAUUUACUGAAAUUUGGUUUUCUA